AGAGUUUUGGGAUUCGUUGAGGUGGCAAGAUUGGUCCUCCAUCUUGUCAAAAUUGAAGAGAGGAGAAUUAAGUCUUGUUGGAACUUUUAAGAGUAUUAUAUACCACAACUUGAAAGUGAAGGGCUGAAGGUGUCAAGAUUGAAACAUUGCAGAUCAAGACUUAGUCGAUCAGGCAACAGCCACUGGCGACACUGAAAGAUGUUUCCAAACCAGCGUAAAGGAAUUACGAAUGGACUCUCCCGUCCUCACUAGAACAACAAAGUGAUCACUGAAAGGUCACCAUCUGACAAAUCUGCUUCUGACUUGUGAAUAGUUCUUCCAUAUUUGGUGUCAAUCUGAUCAAAAACGGAGAAACUCACAAGUUAGGAGAGAAACCCUGAUCCUUAAUCCAGUCUACCCAUGGAAAAUCGAUAAGUGUCCUUCCUAGAAACUAAGGAAGGAUAAAACUUCAUCCCACGUCUCCUUAUUGUCGUCUAAAAAGUUGGAAACCAAACUACCUUAAUCAAAAUAAAUAAGAACCCUUACCUAGUCCUUCGAGAUAUCUUAGUUGUACUCUUCCCAAAUCCCCCGCUCCUCUAAGCAUAGAUCUGACCCCUUUCAACUUGAUUAUAUUGUACGCCUCACUGAUCAAGGAGACCUUGUUCAACUUCCUAAUUCGCGACGAGUUAUAUUGUAUCAUGUGACUGCUUAAAACAUUGGGAAGAUAGUUCCCUGAAGAACCACCCACCAGCGCCUGUUUGAAUGACAACCUUGAAACGCCUCCGGUACGAACUCCCUGUUAGCAAAUUCUACAGCUUUAGGAUUCUGAAAGUUUUUCUGCUUUACACUGGCACUACAAGAAGUAUAUAUCAUUAGCGGCGACAGGCCAAAUGUCACCGCUAUUGGUCGAUCCGCGUCCCGGUGUCUGAAACCAAACCCCAGCCGUUGAGCAAAAUCCUGAUCUAACGGUUGGGGAUUUAAAAGGUAUUAGCAGUGACAAGAUCAUGGUCAUUAGCGGCGGCGUGUGUCUCCGCUAAAAGUAUGUGUCAGAACUUUAAACCCUAGCCACACAAACCUUAUCUCUGGUCAACCCUUAGCGGCGACAAAGGGCAAUACCAGUGACACGACAUCGCCGCUAAUGGUUAAAACGUAUCAGUCCCUAUAUAGCGCCCCUCCUUCUUCAAUUUUCCCCCAAAAAACUUCCCUCUACCGCCGGUAACACGCGAAUCUUGCCCAAAUCGAGAAAUCGGAUCAUCACCAUCACUUCUCCGAUCACCACCAUCACUUCUCCGGUCACCACCUCGUCUCCGCGGUCUACAUCUCUUUGAAACUUGAAAAUACGGGAUAACGUUUUCGGUAUUGCUUAUAUUUGCGUAUCUGAUGGCGGAUGUGGCACCAUGGGGAUGGGGUGACGGCGCUGGUGAUCCACCGCCAACAAGUGGUUUUUUUAGAGGCAUGCAUGAGACGGAUGCGGUUCCCCCGAAGAGGGUUAGGGGGAAAGCCAAAAAUGAAAAACUACGGCGUCUAGUAAAGGGGGGGGGGGGGCGUAUCGCUUACAUUUGACAGACAGGUCACGUAUACCCCAUUUGGUAGACCAAGAGAUAUGUUUUCAAGGGAGGCCGGCAUGUAUAUGUGGCGGACCAUCCCGUUCGAAAAAGUGGGAUGGGAUAACGUUUCAC